rnacentral:pre_miRNA from 1 species
AGUGGGAUAGCUGGGUCAAAUGGUGGUUCCGUUCCCAGUUUUCCAAGGAAUCUGCAUAAUGUUUUUUAGACUGGUUGCUCCAAUUUGCAGUCCCACCAGCAAU